CGUAGUCAACCUGCCCUGGAGACAAGGACAACCCCGGGAAACUGGGAUUAAUCCUUGAUAGGUCAUCUCAUCUGGAAGGAGAGAUGGCUUAAAGGGGUGCGCGGGCUUCUUCCGCGAAUCCGCUCCAGGAUGGGACUGCGUCCGAUCAGGCUGUUGGCGGGGUAAUGGCCCACCAAACCUGUAACCGGUACGGGCCUUGAGAGAGGUGGCCCGGAGAUGGACACUGAGAGAAGGGUCCAGGUCCUACGGGGCGCAGCAGGCGCGAAACCUUCGCAAUGCGCGAAAGCGUGACGAGGUUAAUCCGAGUGACUCCCGCUGAGGGGGUCUUUUGUCAGCUGUAAAUAGGCAGGCGAAUAAGGGGAGGGCAAGCCUGGUGUCAGCCGCCGCGGUAAUACCAGCUCCUCGAGUGGUCGGGGCGAUUAUUGGGCCUAAAGCAUCCGUAGCCGGUUCCGUAGGUCCUCUGUUAAAUCCAACCGCUUAACGGUUGACCUGCAGAGGAUACCGCGGGACUAGGAGGCGGGAGAGGCGGACGGUACUCCGCGUGUAGGGGUAAAAUCCUUUGAUCCGCGGAAGACCACCAGUGGCGAAGGCGGUCCACCAGAACGCGCUCGACGGUGAGGGAUGAAAGCUGGGGGAGCGAACCGGAUUAGAUACCCGGGUAGUCCCAGCCGU
rnacentral:rRNA from 1 species